UGCUGAAUUUGAACAGACAUUUUGGGCAACUGUGUUACCAGUCAUGAAUACACAGCUAUCAGGCUAAAUUUGAUGGUAGUAAUCUGUAUACAUACAUCAGGGGUGGAUUUUUUUUUCUUUCUGGGACCGCUAGAGAACAUUGGAAUAAUCAACUACAUCGACACUCGGACGCUUUAACUGUGUGACACUAACAGGUUGUCAAACUGAAUGUUAUGUUUUAACAGAAAAGAAUUAAUUUCAGUGCACUUAGAAUCUUAAUAAUACUUUUAGGAAUAUAACAUAAAACUCAUUUAGAUA